AGCGAACGUUUGCGGCGGGCCUAACACAUGCAAGUCGAACGGGCAGGGGCAACCCUGUCAGUGGCGCACGGGUGCGUAACACGUGGGUAAUCAACCCUUUGGACUGGGACAACCCGGGGGAAACUCGGGCUAAAUACCGGAUGUGGCAUGUCGGUCUUCGGGGCUGACAUGCGAAAGCCCUCGCAAAGGGGCACCAGAGGACGAGCCCGCGGCCCAUCAGCUAGUUGGUGAGGUAAUGGCUCACCAAGGCGAAGACGGGUAGCUGGUCUGAGAGGAUGAUCAGCCACACUGGAACUGAGACACGGUCCAGACUCCUACGGGAGGGCAGCAGUGGGGAAUAUUGCGCAAUGGGCGAAAGCCUGACGCAGCCACG
rnacentral:rRNA from 1 species